CGGGAUGUAGCGCAGCUUGGUAGCGCAUCCGCUUUGGGAGCGGAGGGUCGCAGGUUCGAAUCCUGUCAUCCCGACCA
rnacentral:tRNA from 1 species